CCCUUAGAUGUUCGGGGCCGCACGCGCGCUACACUGAAGGAAUCAGCACGUCUUUCUCCUUGUCCGAAAGGACUGGGUAACCCGCUGAACCUCCUUCGUGCUAGGGAUUGGGGCUUGUAAUUCUUCCCCAUGAACGAGGAAUUCCCAGUAAGCGCGAGUCAUAAGCUCGCGUUGAUUACGUCCCUGCCCUUUGUACACACCGCCCGUCGCUCCUACCGAUUGAAUGGUCCGGUGAAGCGCUCGGACCGCGGCCUCUUGACGGUUCGCUGUCGAUUGGCUGUGGGAAGUUCGUUAAACCUUAUCAUUUAGAGGAAGGAGAAGUCGUAACA
rnacentral:rRNA from 1 species